CUUUUUGAGAGUUCGAUCCUGGCUCAGGAUUAACGCUGGCGGCGUGCCUAAUACAUGCAAGUCGAGCGAGGAAAGUAGCAAUACUUUUCGAGCGGCGAACGGGUGAGUAACACGUUGGGAAUCUACCCCUGAGACCGGAAUACCUGGAAGAAAUUUCAGCUAAUGCCGGAUACGUGGUCAACACAGAAGUGAUGAUCAUAAAAGGCGGCCUUAAAGCCGCGCUGAGGGAUGAACCUGCGGCGCAUUAGCUAGUUGGUGAGAUAAAAGCCCACCAAGGCGAGGAUGCGUAGCCGACCUGAGAGGGUGAACGGCCACACUGGAACUGAGACACGGUCCAGACUCCUACGGGAGGCAGCAGUAGGGAGUAUUCGGCAAUGGGGGAAACCCUGACCGAGCAACGCCGCGUGAAUGAUGAAGGUCUUCGGAUUGUAAAAUUCUGAGGUAAGAGAAGAAAGAUAUAAAGAGGAAAUGCUUUGUAUUUGACGGUAUCUUGCUAGAAAGCCACGGCUAACUACGUGCCAGCAGCCGCGGUAAUACGUAGGUGGCAAGCGUUAUCCGGAAUUACUGGGCGUAAAGAGUGAGCAGGCGGUUAGAUAAGUCUAUGGUUAAAUGCAACAGCUCAACUGUUGUUCGCUAUAGAAACUAUUUAACUAGAGUGCGGGAGAGGUAAGUGGAACUCCAUAUGUAGCGGUGGAAUGCUUAGAUAUAUGGAAGAACACCAGAGGCGAAGGCGGCUUACCAGUCCGUAACUGACGCUCAGUCACGAAAGCGUGGGGAGCAAAUAGGAUUAGAUAUCCUAGUAGUCCACGCCGUAAACGAUGAGAACCUGAUGCAGGAGAUAUUCUGUGUCGAAGCUAACGCGUUAAGUUCUCCGCCUGGGUACUACGUUCGCAAGAAUAAAACUUAAAGGAAUUGACGGGCGCCCGCACAAGCAGUGGAGCAUGGGGUUUAAUUCGUCGAUACACGAAAAACCUUACCAGGGCUUGACAUCCCGCUAAAAGCCUUAGAAAUAAGGAAAUAGUUAUAGCGGUGACAGGUGGUGCAUGGUUGUCGUCAGCUCGUGCCGUGAGGUGUUAGGUUAAGUCCUCAAACGAGCGCAACCCUUGUCUUUAGUUGCCAUUAUUAAUUUAGGAACUCUAGAGAGACUGCCGGCGCAAGCCGGAGGAAGGCGGGGAUGACGUCAAAUCAGCAUGCCCUUUAUGCCCUGGGCCACACCCGUGCUACAAUGGUCGGUACAAAGAGAAGCAACACUGUGAGGUGAAGCAAAUCCCAUAAAGCCGAUCUCAAUUCGGAUUGAAGUCUGCAACUCGACUUCAUGAAGCUGGAAUUGCUAGUAAUCGCAGAUCAGCAACGCUGCGGUGAAUACGUUCUCGGGCGUUGUACACACUGCCCGUCACACCAUGAGAGCCGGUAAUACUCGAAGUCGUUAGCCUAACCGUAAGGAGGGCGGCGCCUAAGGUAGGACUGGUGAUUGGGGUUAAGUCGUAACAAGGUAUCCCUACGAGAACGUGGGGAUGGAUCACCUCCUUU
rfam:Firmicutes bacterium CAG:345 genomic scaffold, scf4